UACGGAGGGAGCUAGCGUUGUUCGGAAUUACUGGGCGUAAAGCGCGCGUAGGCGGUUACUCAAGUCAGAGGUGAAAGCCCGGGGCUCAACCCCGGAACUGCCCUUUGAAACUAGGUGACUAGAAUCUUGGAGAGGUCAGUGGAAUUCCGAGUGUAGAGGUGAAAUUCGUAGAUAUUCGGAAGAACACCAGUGGCGAAGGGCGACUGACUGGACAAGUAUUGACGCUGAGGUGCGAAAGCGUGGGAGCA
rnacentral:rRNA from 1 species